CAUAUGCUCCCUCCAUCCGGAAAUACUUUUCAUCAAAAUGGAUAAAAGAAGAUGUAUCUAGAUGUAUUUUAGUUCUAGAUACAUCUCUCUUUAUCCAUUUUGAUGACAAGUGUUUUGGGACGGAGGGAGUAGUUU
rfam:Triticum aestivum genome assembly, contig: Triticum_aestivum_CS42_TGACv1_scaffold_592815_7BS